UUUCACAGUCUGAAUUAGUUCAUACUUACACAUGCAUGGCUUAAUCUUUGAGACAAGCAUAUGACUACUGGCAGGAUCAACCAGGUAGCAUUCCUUUUUGCCGAAGGCACGGUAUGAGCAACAGGAUGAAUAUCAUCCUGAUGUCAACUCCAUGCACAACAGGCUUUUAUAAGGGACAAUUAAUUCGGACUAAUAGGGACCAAAGACCCCAACCGAUCAUGUUUCUGCAUACAAGAUUUCUAGCGACACAUGGGCGUCCGAUGCCUACAUGACCAAACGGAAACGUAGGGGCGGACGACCAGGUUAGUUUCGUUGUCUAUCUCGCACAAAUUAAGGAGCACGAGACAAAAAGGGACCGUGGGACUAUGAAAUUCCGUCAAAAUAGGUAUGUCACACAGGGGGCCUAGCCAACCAAAGGCAAAAUUUUAAGCUUUCGGACAGAACUGAACGUGUAUGAACAAGCGGUUGUCGCUGCCGAGGCAGGGAUCCAACCAACCGGGACAUACCAAUCACC
rnacentral:misc_RNA from 1 species